UUGAUUCAGCAGGUUGGAAACGCUCUUCUUUGACUAUCGGCGAAGAAACAUUUGGAAGUUCAUUGCAGCCUAUGGGAAAAACAGAAUAUCCCCAGAAAAAAUUAGAAAGAAUAUAUCUGCAAAACUGCUUUGUGAUGUGUGGAUUCAUCUCACAGAGUUAAAACUUUCUUUGGAACUAGCAGGUUGGAAACACACUUCCUGGAAAAUCUGUGAAUGGAAAUUUGUGAUCCCUUUAUGGCCCAUGGGUAAAAAUUGAAUGUCCCCAGAUAAAAACCAGCAGGAAGCUAUCUGUGAAGCUGCUUUGUAUUGCGUGGAUUUAUCUCACAGAGUUAAACCUUUCUUUUGAUUCUGCAUGUUGGAAACACUCUUUCUGGAGAAACUGCGAGGGACAUUUGGGAGCAUACUGAGGUCUAUAUGAAAAAACUGAAUAUGCUCAUAUAAAAACUAGAAAGAAGUUAUCUGUGAAACGGCUUUGUGAUGUGUGGAUUCAUCUCAAAACAUCAAACAUUUAUUUUUAUUCAGCAGGUUGGAAAAAUCAUUUUGGAGAAUCUGCAAAGGGACAUUUUGAAGCCAUUUGAGGCGUAUGGGUAAAACGGAUUAUCCCUAGAUAAAAAGUAGAAAGAAGCUCUCUGUGUAACUGCUUUGUGAUGUGUGGAUUCAUCUCAUGGAGUGGAACCUUUCUUUUGAUACAGCAGGUUGGAAACACUGUUAUUGCAGAAUCUGCAAAGGGACAUAUAGGAACACAUUGACUCCUAAGGGGAUAAAUCAAAUAUCCCAAGACAAAAACUAGAAGGACGUAUCUGUGAAACUGCUUUGUGAUGUGUGGAUUCUUCUCACGGACUUAAAACUUUCUUUUGAUCCAGCAGAUUGGAAAAACUCUUUUUGGAGAAUCAGCAAAGGGACAUUUGGGAGCUCAUUGAGGCCAAUGGGGAAAAACAAAUAAUCCCCAGAUAAAAACUAGAAAGAAGCUAUCAUUGAAAUUCCUUUGUGAUUUGUGAAUUCAUGGCACAGAGUUAAACCUCACUUUUGAUCCAGCAGGUUGGAAACACUCUUUUUGUAAAAUCCAUGAAGGCACUCCUGGAAGCCCAUUAAGACCUACAAGUAAAAACCAAUAGUCCCCAGAAAAAACUAAAAAGAAGCUAUCUGUGACACUGCUUUCUGAAGUGUGGAUUCAUCUACCAUAGUUAAACCUUUCUUUUGAUUCAGUAGGUUGGAAACAUUCUUUUUGCAGAAUCUGCAAAAAGACAUUUUGGAGCCCUUUAAGUCCUGUGCAGUAAAACUGAAUAUCCCCAGAAAAAAAUGAAAUAGAAGCUAUCUGUGAAACUGCUUUGUGAUGGGUGGAUUCAUAUCACAGAGUUAAACCUUUCUUUUUAUUCAGAAGCUUAGAAACACUCUUUUUGGUGAAUCUACAACCUGACAAUUGGGACUCAACUGAGGCUUAUGGGAAAAAAAAAUAUCCUUAUAUAAAAACCAGAAAGAAGCUAUCUGUAAAACUCCUUUGUGAUUUGUGUAUUCAUCUCACAGUGUUUAACAUUUCUUUUUAUGCAGCAGGUUGGAAACACUGUUUUUGGAUCAGCUGUGAAAAGCACAUUGAAGUUUAUGGGAAAAAAACUAUCCCCAGAUAAAAACUGGAAAGAAGUUAUUUGUGAAACUGCUUUGUGAUAUGAGAUUUCCUCUCACAGACUUAAAACUUUCUUUUGAUUCAGCAGGUAGGAAACUCUCUUUUUGGAGUAUCUGUGAAGGGACAUUUGAAAGCCCAUUGGAGCCUAUGGGGUAAAACUGAAUAUCCCAAAAUAAAAAGAAGAAAGAAGCUAUCUUUGAAAAUGCUUCAUCAUGUGUGGAUUCGUCUCACAGAGUUAAAAAUUUCCUUUGAUUCAGCAGGUUGGAAACACUCCUUUUUGAGCAUCUGUGAAAAGAUAUUUUGGAACCCAUUGUAGUCUGUCAGGAAAAACAGAAUAUCCCCAGAUAGAAACUAGAAAGAAGCUAUCUGUGAAACUGCUUUUGAAGUGUGGAUUCAUCUCUCAGAGUUAAACUUUUCUAUUGAUUCAGCAGGUUGAAAAACUCUUCUCCCUGAAUCUCUGAAGGGACUUUGGGGAGCAUAUUGAGGCCUAUUGGGCAAAACUGAAUAUCCCCCCUACCAAAAAAAAAAAAAAAAAAAAACUACAAAUAACCUAUAUGUGAAAUAGAUUUUUAAUGUGUGGAUUCUUCUCACAGAGUAAAACUUUUCUUUUGAUUCAGCCGAUAGGAAACACUGUUUUUGGAGAAUCUGCAAAGUGACAUUUUGGAGCCCAUUGAGGCCUGUUGGGAAAAAACGAAUAUCCCCAUAUAAAAACUAGAAAGAAGCUGAUAGUGAUCCUGCUUUGGGAUGUGUGGAUUCAUCUCAGAGAGUUAAAACUUUCUUUUGAUUCAGCAGGUUCAAAACACUUUUCUUGGAGAAUCUGAGAAUGGACAUUUAGGUGCCCAUUGAGGCCUAUGUGGAAAAAAUGAACACUGAGAAAAAAUUAGAAAGAAGCUAUUUGUGAAACAGCUUUGUGAUGUGUGAAUUCAUCUCAAAGAGUUAAGCCUUUCUGUUGAUCCAGCAGGUUGGAAACACUCUUUUUGAAGUAUCUUUGAAGGAACAUUUGAGAGCCCUUUGAGGCCUAUGGGGAAAAACCAGAUUUCCCCAGAUAGAAAGUAGAAAAAAGCUAUCUGUGAAACUGCUUUGUGAUGUGUGAAUUCACCUCACAGAGUGAAAGUGUACCUUUGAUUCAGCAGGUUGGAAACACUCCUUUUGGAGAAUCUGUGAAGGAACAUUUCGGAGCCCAUUGAGACCUAUAUGGAAAAAGGAAAUAUCUCCAGAUAAAAACUAGAAAGAAGCUAUCUGUGAAACUGAUUUGUGAUGUGCGGAUCCAUCUCACAGAGUUAAAACUUUCCUUUGAUUCAGCAGGUCGGAAACACUCUUUUUGGAGCAUCUGCAGAAAGACAUUUCAGAGCCCAUUGUGGCCUUUCAGGAAAAACAGAAUAUCCCCAGGUAGAAAUUGAAAGAAGCUAUAUGUGACACUGCUCUUUGAAGUGUGGAUUCAUCUCACAGAGCUAAAUGUUUCUUUUGAUUCAGCAGGUUGAAAAAACUCUUUUCCGAGAAUCUCCAAAGGGACAUUUGGGAGCACAUUGAGGCCUAUGGUGCAAAACCAAAAAUCCCCUCCAAAAAAACUAGGCAGAAGUUAUCUAUGAAACAGAUUUUUAAGUGUGAAUUUAUCUCACAGAGUUAAAACUUUCUUUUGAUUCAGAAAGUAGGAAACACUCUUUUUGGAGAAUCUGCAUAGAGACAUUUGAGAGCCCAUUGAGGCAUAUGGAUAAAAAUCAAAUAUCCUUAGAUGAAAACUAGAAAGAAGCUAUCUGUGAAAGUGUUUGUGAUACAUGGAUUCAUCUCACAGAUUUAAAUCAAUCUUUUAAUUCCCCAGGUAGGAAACACUCUUUUUGGAGAAUCUGUGAAGGGAUAUUUGGGAGCCCAUUGAGGCCAAUGAAAAAAAACACCAGAUAAAAACUAGAAAGUGCCUAUCUUUGAAACGUCUUUGUGAUGUGUGGAUUCUUGUCACAGAGUUAAACCUUUCUUUUGAUUCAGCAGUUUGGAAACAGUCUUCUUGGAGGAUCUGUGUAGGGUCAUUUCAGGGCCCAUUGACGUCUAUGGGGAAACACAAAAUAUCCCUAGACAAAUACUAGAAAGAAAUAAUUCAUAAAACUUAUUUAUGAUGUGUGGAUUCAUCUCAGAGAGUUAAACCAUUCUUUUGAUUCAGCAGGUUGGAAACACUCUUUUUAAAGAAUCUGCAAAGGGACAAUUAGGAGCCCUCUGGGACCUGUGGGAAAACACCAAAUAUCACGAGAUAAGAACUAGAAGGGAGGUAUCUGUGAAACUGCUUUGUGAGGUGUGGAUUAAUCUCACAAAGUUAAACUUUUUUUUGAUUCAGCUGGUUGGAAACGCUAUUUUUGGAAAAUCUGUGAAUGGACAUUUGGGAGCCCUUUGAGGCCUAAGGGGAAAAAUUGAACAUACCCAUAUAAAAACUAGAAAGAAGCUAUAUGCUAAACUGCUUUGUGAUGUGUGGAUUCAUCUCACAGAGUUAAACCUUUCUUUUCAUUCAUCCAGUUCUAAACACUUUUUUUGGAGAAUCUGCAAAGGGACAUUUGGUAGCCCUUUGAGGCCUAUGGGGAAAAACUGAACAUCUCCAGAUGAAAACUAGAAAGAAGCUAUGUGUGAAACUGCUUGUGAUGUGUGGAUUCAUCUCACAGAGUUUAAAGUUUCCUUUGAUUAAUUAGGUUGAAAAUGCUAUUUUUGCAGAAUCUGCAAAAAGACAUUUUUAAGCCCAUUGAGGCCUAGGUGGCAAAAUUGAAUGUCCCAAGAUAAAAACUAGAAAGAAGCUGUCUGUAAAACUGCUAUAAGAUGUGUGAAUUCAUCACACAGAGUUAUACAUUUCUUUUGAUUCAGCUUGUUGGAAACAUUCUUUUUAAUGAAUCCAUGAAGAGACAUUUGGGAGCCCAUUGGGGCUUAUGGGGAAAAACUGAAUAUUUGCAAAUAAAAAGUAGAUAGGAGUUAUCUGUGAAACUGCUUUGUGAUAUGUGAAUUCAUCUCACAGAGUUAAACAUUUCUCCUGAUUCAGCAGGUUGGAAAAACUCUUUAAAGAGAAUCUGCUAAAGGAUAUUUGGGAGACCUUUGAGGACAAUGGGGCAAAAUUGAAUGUUCCCAGAUCAAAACUAGAAAGAAGCUAUCUGUGAAACUGCUUUUUGAUUUCUGGAUUCCUCUCACAGAGUUUAACCCUUCUUUUGAAUCAGCAGCUUUUAAACACUCUUUUUGGAGUAUCUGUGAAGGGACAGUUUGGAUCCCAUGGAGGCCUAUGGAGAAAAACUGAAUAUUUCCAGACAAAAGCUAGAAAGCAGCACAUUGAGACCUAUGGGAAAAAAAUGGAUAUCCCCACAUAAAAUCUAGAAAGAAGCUAUUUUUGAAACUGCUUUGUGUUGUGUGGAUUCAUCUCACAGAGUUUAAUCUUCUCGUCAUUCUUCAGGUGGAAAACUCUCUUUUUUGAGAAUCUGUGAAGGGACAUUUGGGCCGUUCGAUACCUCUAGGGAGAGCAAAAUAUCCACCAAUAAACACCAGAAAGAAACAAUCUAUGAAACUGCUUUCUGAUGUCUGGAUACAUCUCACAGAGGUAAAAUUUUCUUUUGAUUCAGCAGUUUGGAAACACUAUUUUUGUAGAAUCUAUGAAGGGACAUUUCAGAGCCCUUUGAGGCCUAUUGAGAAAAAAUGAAUAUCCCCAAAUAAAAACCAGAAAGAAGCUAUUUAUUUGUGAAAAUGCUUUGUGAUGUGUGGAUUCAUCUCAGAGUUAAACCAUGCAUUUGAUUCCACAGGUUGGAAACACUCUUUUUGCAGAAUCGUUGAAGAAACAAUUGGGAACCCAUUGAGCUCUAUGGGGAAAUACUUAAUAUCCCAAGAUAAAAACUAGAGUGAACAUAUCUGUGAAUCUGCUUUGUGAUGUGUGGAUUCAUCUAAAGAGUUAAAAGUUUGUUUUGAUUUAGCAGGUUGGAGACACUUUUUUUCUAGAAUCUACUAUGUGACAUUUGGAACUUAUUGAGAGCUAUGGGAAAAGACAAAUUAUCCCAAGAUAAAAACUAGAAAGAAACUCUCUGUGAAACUGCUUUAUGAUGUGUGGAUUCAUCUCACAGACUUAAAAUUUUCUUUUGAUUGAGCAUGUUAGAAACACUCUUUUUGGAGUAUCUGCCAAGGGACACUUGGGAACCCACUGAGGCCUGUGGAGAACCACAGAAUAUCCAGAGACAAAAAUUAAGCAAAACUGUCUGUGAAAGUGCUUUUUGACGUGUAGAUUCCUCUCACAUAGUUAAACCUUUCUGUAGAUUCAGCAGUUUUGAAACACUAUUUGGAGAAUCUGUGAAGGGAUAUUUUGAAGCCCAUAGAGGCCUACCAAAAAAAAAACCUAAAUAUCCCCAGAUAAAAUCUAGAAACAAGCUAUCUUUGAAAUUACUUUGUGAUGUGUGGAUUCAUCUCUCAGAAUUCAACGUUUCUUUUAAUCCAGCAGGUUGGAAACACUCUUUUCAAAGUAUCUGUGAAGGGAUAUUUGGGAACCCCUUGAGGCAUGUGGGGAAAAACAGAAUAUCCCCAGAGAAAAACUAGAAAGAAGCUACUUGUGAAACUGCCUUGGGAUGUGUGGAUUCAUUGCAUGGAGUUAAAUGUUUCUUUUGAUUUAGGAGGUUGGAAACACUCUUUUUAAAGAAUCCGUGAAGGGACAUUUGGAAGCCCUCUGAGACCUGUGGAAAAACACAGAAUAUCCCGAGAUAAAAACUAGAAGGAAGGUAUCUGUGAAACUGCUUGGUGAGGUGUGGAUUCAUCUCACAAAGUUAAACAUUUUUUUUUGAUUGUGCUGGUUGGAAACACUAUUUUUGGAAAAUCUGUGAAUGGACAUUAGGGAGCCCUUUGAGACCUAUGCAGAAAAAUUGAACAUCCCCAGAUAAAAACUAGAAAGAAACUAUCUCUGAAACUGCUUUGUGAUGUGUGGAUUCAUCUCACCGAGUUAAACCUUUCUUUUGAUUAGGCAGGUUGGAAAAACUUAUUUUGGAGAAUCUGCAAAGGGGCAUUUCAGAAUCCAUUGAUGCCUAUGGGGAAAAACUGAAUAUCAGUAGAUAACAACUAGAGAGAAGUUACCAGUGAAACUACUUUGUGAUGUGUGAAUUCAUGUUAAAGAGUAAAACCUUUAUUUUUCUUCAGCAUGUUGGAAGCACUCUUUUUGGAAGAUCUGUGAAAGGACAUUUUGGAGACCAUUGAGGCCUACAGGGAAAAACCGAAUUUCCCAGAUAAAAACUGGAAAGAAGAUAUCUGUGAAAUUGUUUUACAAUGCGUGGCUUCAUCUCACAGUUAAACAUUUUUUUUUUUAUUCAAGAGGUUGGAAACACUCUUGUUGGAGAAUUCUCAAAGGGACAUUUGGGAGCCCACUGAGUCCUGUGGGGAAACACCAAAUAUCCACAGAUAAAAACUAGAAGGAAGCUAUCUGUGAAACUGUUUUGUGAUGUUUGGAUUCAUCUCUAAGCAGCAAACGUUUCUUUUGAUUCAGCACGUUGGAGACAGUCUUUUUGGAGUAUCUGCAAGGAGAUAUUUGGGAGCCCACUGAGGCCUGUGGGGAAAAACAAACUAUACCCAGACAAAAACUAGAAAGAAGUUUCCUGUGAAACUGCUUUGGGAUGUGUGGAAGCACUGCAGAGAGUUCAAGUUUUCUUUUGAUUCAGCAGGUUGGAAACACUCUAUUUAGAGAAUCUGCAAAAGAACAUUUGAGAGCCCAAUAAGCCCUUGGAAAAACACCGAAUAUCCCAAGAUAAAAACUAGAAGGUUGGAAACACUCUGUUUGGAAUAUCUGCAAAGGGACUUUUGGGAGCCCAUUGAGGCCUAUGGGGAAAAACCAAAUAUUCCCAGACAGAAACUAGAAAGAAGAUAUCUGUGAAACGCUUUGUGAUGUUUGGAACCCUCUCACAGAGUUAAACCUUUAUUUUUAUUCAGGAGGAUUUAAACACUCUUUUUGGAGAAUCUUCAAAGGGACAUUUGGGAGCCUAUUGAGGCCUAUGGAGAAAAACUGAAUAUUCCCACAUAAAUCUAGAAAGAAGCUAUCUGUGAAACUGCUUUGUGAUGUGUAGCUUCAUCUCAAAAAAUUAAACUUUUCUUUUGAAUCACCACGUUGGAAACAUUCUUCUUGGAGGAUCUGGAAAUGGACAUUUGGAAGUCCAUUGAUGUCUGUGGAGAAAAAAAAAUAUCCCCAGACAAAAGUAGAAAGAAGCUGUCUGUGAAACUGCCUUGUGAUAUGUGGAUCAUCUCACAGAGUUAAACCUUACUUUAAAUUCAGCCAGUUAAAAAACUUUUUUGGAGAAUCUGCAAAGGGACGUUUGGGAGCCCAUUUAGGCUUAUGGAAAAAAUGUAAUAUCCCCAGAUAAAAAUAAGAAAAAUCUAUUCUUGAAACUGCUUUGUGAGGUGUGGAUUCACCUCCCAGGGUUAAAACUUUCUUUUGACUCAGAAGGUUGGAAACACUCCUUUUGGAGGAUCUGCGAAGGGCCAUUUUGAAGCCCAUUGAUGCUAUUUUGUUAAACUAAAUAUCCCUAAAUAAAAACUACAAAGAAACUAUCUGUGAAACUGCUUUGUGAUGUGUGGAUUCAUUUCACAGUGUUAAACCUUUCUUUUGAGUCAGCAGGUUGGAAAUACUGUUUUUAGAGAAUCUGCAAAGAAACAUUUAGGAGCCCAUUGAGGUCUCUGGGGAACAACAGAAUAUCCCAGAUAAAAAGUAGAAAGAAGCUAUCUGUGAAACUGCUUUGUGAUGUGUGGAUUCAUCACACAGAUUUAAACAUUUCUUUAGAUGCAGCCAGUUUGAAGCACUCUUUCUGGAGAAUCUGUGAAGGGAUAUUUGAAUCUCAAUGUGGCAUAGAAGGAAAAACUGAACAUCCCCAGAUAAAAACAAGAAAGAAGCUAUCUGUUAAUGGCUUUGUGGUGUGUGGAUUCAUCUCACUGACUUAAAUCUUUCUUUGAACUCCGUAUGUUGGAAGCACUCUUUUUGGUGGAUCUGUGAAGGGACUUUUUGGAGCACAUUGAGGCCUAUGGGGGAAAAUAAAAUAUCCCCAGAUUAAAUCUAGAAAGAAGCUUUGUGUGAAACUGCUUUGUGAUGUGUAGAUUCAUCUCACAGCGUUGAACCUUUCUUUUGAUUCAGCAGGUUGAAAACACUACUAUUGGAGGAUUUGUGAUGGGACAUUUGGGAACCCAUUGAGGUCUAUAGGGAAAAACCGAAUAUUCCUAGAAACAAAAUUUGAAAAUUAUUUGCUGUGGAACUGAUUUGUGAUGUGUUAAUUCAUCUCACAUAGGAAAAGAUUUCUUUUGAUUCAGCAGGUUGAAAACACUUUUUUUUGUACAAUUUGCGAAGGGACAUCUGGGAGCUCAUUGAGGCCUAUGGGGAAAAAACGAAUAUAUCUAGAAAAAAAUUAGAAAGAAGCCAUUUGUGAAACUGCUUGGUGAUAUAUCGAUUUAUCUCAAAGAGUUAAAGUUUCUUUUGAUUCAGCAGGUUAGAAACACUCUUCCUAGAGAAUCAUUGCAGAGGUUUUAUUGGCCCAUUGAGGCCUAUGGGGCAAAACCAAAAAUCUCCAGAUAAAAACUUGAAAGAAGGUAUCUGUGAAACUGCUUUGUGAUGUGUGGAUUCAUUUCACGAUUAAACUUUCCUUUUGAUUAAGCAGGUUGGAAACAUUCUUUUUGGAGAAUCUGUGGAGGGAAAUUUUGGGAGUCCAUUGAGGUCUGUGGGGAAAAACUGAAUAUCAGCAGAUAUACACCCAAAUAAAAACUAGAAAGAAGGUAUGUGUGAAACUGCUUUGUGAUGUGUGGAUUCAUCAAACAGAGUUAAACUUUUC
rnacentral:lncRNA from 10 species